rnacentral:rRNA from 1 species
CCUACGGGUGGCAGCAGUGAGGGAUAUUGGUCAAUGGCCGGAACGCUGAACCAGCCAUGCCGCGUGAAGGUCAGUGCCCUAUGGGCGUUAAACUUCUUUUGUGCGGGAGCAAUAAUGGUCACGUGUGGCCAGACGAGAGUGCCGUACGAAUAAGCAUCGGCUAACUCCGUGCCAGCAGCCGCGGUGAUACGGGGGAUGCAAGCGUUAUUCGGGUAUAUUGGGUUUAAAGGGUGCGUAGUGUGUGAGGUAAGUCAGCGGUGAAAUGCCCCCGCUCAACGGGGUGAAGUUCCAUUGAUACUGCAGUGCUGGAAUGCGGAUGAGGUAGGAGGAAUGUGUGGUGUAGCGGUGAAAUGCAUAGAUAUCACACAGAACACCGAUUGCGAAGGCAUCUCACGAAUCCGCGAUUGACGCUGAUGCACGAAAGCGUGGGUAUCAAACAGGAUUAGAUACCCUAGUAGUC